rfam:Aedes albopictus isolate Foshan contig80741, whole genome shotgun sequence.
UGCCCAGCAAAUCAUAUCCCUACCUCCUCGUGGUAUUGGUCGGAAACUGUGAGCAACCUUAGUCGUAGGCUGACAGGGAAGG